rnacentral:tRNA from 1 species
GGCUUCGUGGUCUAGAGGUAUGAUUUCCGCUUAGGGUGCGGGAGGUCCCGGGUUCGAUUCCCGGCGGAGCCC